UUCUUUAUGUACCUGUAACCAGGUAGAAUUUCAAAUAAUUCUAUCAGAGUAGUCAAUUAUCUACCUUUGACCACUGUGAACAAAUGUCAUAGUUGACUUACUUUAAAUCAACUCAGUCAGGUGAUCACUGUGACCAAUGACAACAGUUGAUUGAUUUCAAAACCUGUUAAGCCAGAUAAGUUUUCCCUCUCUUUUGCAUUGUGUUCUGGACAGUCAAAGUGUCAGCAGUCAGUUUUUGCUUGAGCUGCAGAGUUUUAUUUCUUCAUGUGUAUUUCUUAUCAGUUUUAACCAUCACCACAGUUAGUGAGAAAAGAGAGAGGCGGACAGACAGGUGUAAAAGCCCAAACCACAUUUGGGCUUUAAAAGUCUUGAGCCAACCUAAAGGGAAUAUUGUAAUCCUUCAGUAUGACAUCAUGAACAGUUUCUAAUGAACACUAUUAUGAAAUUGAAUAUAUUAUUGAAAGAAACA